GAUGAACGCUGGCGGCGUGCCUAAUACAUGCAAGUCGAGCGAACAGACGAGGAUCUUGCUCCUCUGACGUUAGCGGCGGACGGGUGAGUAACACGUGGAUAACCUACCUAUAAGACUGGGAUAACUUCGGGAAACCGGAGCUAAUACCGUAUAACCUGUUGCACCGCAUGGUUCAACAGUGAAAGACGGUCUUGCUGUCACUUCUCGAUGGAUCCGCGCCGCAUUAUCUAGUUGUUAAGGUAACGGCUUACCAAGGCAACGCUGCAUAGCCGACCUGAGAGGGGGAUAGGCCACAAUGGAACUGAGACACGGUCCAGACUCCUACGGGAGGCAGCAGUAGGGAAUCGGACGCAAUGGGCGAAAGCCUGACGGAGCAAGGCCGCGUGAGUGAAGAAGGUCUUCGGAUCGUAAAACUCUGUUAUGAGGGAAGAACAAAUGUGUAAGUAACUGUGCACGUCUUGACGGUACCUAAUCAGAAAGCCACGGCUAACUACGUG
rnacentral:rRNA from 1 species